AUUGAACGCUGGCGGCAUGCCUAACACAUGCAAGUCGAACGGCAGCACGGCAGUAGCAAUACUGUGGGUGGCGAGUGGCGGACGGGUGAGGAAUACGUCGGAAUCUGCCCAGUCGUGGGGGAUAACUAGCCGAAAGGUUAGCUAAUACCGCAUACGACCGAGAGGUGAAAGCGGGGGACCGCAAGGCCUCGCGCGAUUGGAUGAGCCGACGUCGGAUUAGCUAGUUGGAGGGGUAAAGGCCCACCAAGGCGACGAUCCGUAGCUGGUCUGAGAGGAUGAUCAGCCACACUGGAACUGAGACACGGUCCAGACUCCUACGGGAGGCAGCAGUGGGGAAUAUUGGACAAUGGGCGCAAGCCUGAUCCAGCAAUGCCGCGUGAGUGAUGAAGGCCUUAGGGUUGUAAAGCUCUUUUACCAGGGAUGAUAAUGACAGUACCUGGAGAAUAAGCUCCGGCUAACUCCGUGCCAGCAGCCGCGGU
rnacentral:rRNA from 1 species